rnacentral:tRNA from 1 species
AGGAUAAUAGUUUAUAAAAACAUUUAAUUUGCAUUUAAAAAAUAUCUUACGAUUUAUCUUA